rnacentral:rRNA from 1 species
GAGUUUGAUCCUGGCUCAGGACGAACGCUGGCGGCGCGCCUAACACAUGCAAGUCGAACGGAGUCAAGAGGAGCUUGCUUUUCUUGACUUAGUGGCGAACGGGUGAGUAACGCGUGAGUAACCUGCCCUGGAGUGGGGGACAACAGUUGGAAACGACUGCUAAUACCGCAUAAGCCCACGGCCCGGCAUCGGGCUGCGGGAAAAGGAUUUAUUCGCUUCAGGAUGGACUCGCGUCCAAUUAGCUGGUUGGUGAGGUAACGGCCCACCAAGGCGACGAUUGGUAGCCGGACUGAGAGGUUGAACGGCCACAUUGGGACUGAGACACGGCCCAGACUCCUACGGGAGGCAGCAGUGGGGGAUAUUGCACAAUGGGGGAAACCCUGAUGCAGCGACGCCGCGUGGAGGAAGAAGGUUUUCGGAUUGUAAACUCCUGUCGUUAGGGACGAUAAUGACGGUACCUAACAAGAAAGCACCGGCUAACUACGUGCCAGCCGCCGCGGUAAUAC